UCACCUGCACGCCUCUCUUGUUCUCCUUCUUUUUAUUUUCCUCUCUUCCUCUCUUCUAGUCCCGCACGCCAGUCCCCCUCCCCAUCUCUCACGCCCAGUUUUCCCUUCCCCCCUCCCUUCCUCUUCUAUUACACACACGCACAGUGAGCCCGUGAGAGAGAGAGAGAGAGCUGCCAUGGAGGAGAUCUAGCCAUGAGAAGAAGGAAAAUAAAUGAUGAUAUUCCUUUGGCUGCAGGUACUCCGAUCGUAGUUAAUGGUGUUGUAGAUGUGCAGUUGAGGUAUUAUAACUGAAGCUCGCCACGACGGUCAUAAUUGCGGGACUAUGGGUGUCCUCGAUUUUAUAGGUUUUGUUUAUGGUUUGUGUGUAGUUGGCUUGUGUCACUUGUUAUUGUAUAAACCAUUUCUGUUGUGUAAUUAUAUUGAGGAAAGACUUAAACAGAUAGAUGUUAAAUGGCUCUUGUUGUAAUUAAUUUAUGAUAGAUGUUUAAGAUGUGAUUUCCGCUAUUAAGUUUAUGUUUUCUGCUGCAUAGUAGAUAGAUAUUAAACUCUGAUUUACCAGGUACAGAUUAUGGGGUAUGUAUCAUAUGUAGGCUUUGCGACAUAUUGUCAUGCCAUUGUAAAGAUCCUUUUAUAUUUUAAAAGAUUAAUAUUUGUUAUUCUAUAAA